rnacentral:rRNA from 1 species
GACGAACGCUGGCGGCGUGCUUAACACAUGCAAGUCGAACGGAAAGGCUCUGCUUUUGUGGGGUGCUCGAGUGGCGAACGGGUGAGUAACACGUGUGUAACCUGCCCUUGACUUUGGGAUAACUUCAGGAAACUGGGGCUAAUACCGGAUAGGAGCUCCUGCUGCAUGGUGUGGGUUGGAAAGUUUCGGCGGUUGGGGAUGGACUCGCGGCUUAUCAGCUUGUUGGUGGGGUAGUGGCUUACCAAGGCUUUGACGGGUAGCCGGCCUGAGAGGGUGACCGGCCACAUUGGGACUGGGAAAGGGCCCGGAGUCCAACGGGAGGAAGCGGUGGGGAAUAUUGCACAAUGGGCGGAAGCCUGAUGCAGGAACGCCGGGUGCGGAAUGACGGCUUUCGGGUUGUAAACCGCUUUCGCCUGUGACGAAGCGUGAGUGACGGUAAUGUGUAAAGAAGCACCGGCUAACUACGUG